CAGAAGCCCGCUUGCCCAGCAGUCUCACCCGACCCCAAAGUGGUCCCAGAACAUGACCAAAAUGUGGUUGGGGAAGCUUCUGCUGAUAUCUAGAUCUAUCUGUUUGAUGUACCAGGAGGAGACCUGGGCCUCCUCCUUCAUUCCUGUGGCGAGAACCGGGGAGGAGGAGCCAGCAUUAGCGACACAGAACACUAACUGUCACCAACUGUCAUCCUAAGCAGGAGCACUGCUGGUCACCAUGGCGUGGAGGAUCCUUCCACACGCUGGUGCAGGAGAUGCGGUAGCACAAGGUGUGCAAGCUGAGCCCGCCCGGUGAGGGGGCCUGGGAGCAUGAGCUGCAAGUGCCUGCUGUCCUGACGUCACUACCAGGGCCACGUUGCCCGCCCCGAUGGCUCUCUAUGUCCCAGGAUCAGAGGUUCAGGGCAAAGAAGGUUGGAAGCGCCCCAGAGGCCAGCCAGUCCAGGCUCCCUGGACAGAGGCAGCGCAGAUCUCCCAGGGCACUUUGCACAGACCGUCGUGAACUGAGGCCCCCGGCCCCGGCUGUCACUGUCUCCCAGCCCUAUCCUGACCUGUGGGGCACAGGCUGAGUCGCAGUAAGUCUGUGAAUGUCCUGCCCCUGACAUCUGGCUGACCUUGGAAGACAGGAGGGCAGGUCAGCUUUGUGUUCCUGCCGGCCCCUGUGUAGAGCUAUUAGGGGCCUGGGCAGGGCCCCCUCCUCCCUUCUGGGGUUCUGUCCCCUCCUUUGUACAGAGCUCUGGCAGAUGCAGAAACGAGGUGGCCGUGCAUUUUAACACAACCACACUUUAUUGAACUUUCAACAGCAAACAGGGGCUCAGGGCUGAGGGUGCGCGCCUUCCCCUCUGGAGGGGGACCUUCCUUUCUUUUAGGAGAAAGCCAAAGUCACAUGGGGGUGUUGGUGCCAGAGUCCCCCAGCUUGAAAGCUGUGCUGACCCCGAAUGGGGGCACGAGUCCUGAGGUUGGGGCCUGAGAGGCAGUUCUGAGGACAGCGGACCAGACCUGGACCUGCAACUUCAGGGUUCUUGCGCUGGAUCCCAGCAGGUCAUCUGGACCCCUAGUUUCUGGCUCACGUGCCAGGGGACUGACUGCUGGAGACCCAGCAUGUGGAGGCCCAGGAGCAUGGAGGCAGAGAUCAGAUGGCCCCAGGACUCUGUGGGGCCUUGGGGUUGUGGGUUCAGCGCUGCCCUGGCACGGGCUGGCCCUGCCUAUCACUGCCCAGCGAGGGACUUGAACUGCUGUGGCCACAGGACAGGAAGGUAUCUGGAUCCCUAUAGUGUCAUCUUAGUGGGCUGGGUGGACCCCGUGAGGGGCGUCCAAGGGGGAUUCUAUUGUCUGGUUUGCUGUGUGGCCUGUGGUGUGGCCCAGGCAGGUGCCAAAGCGAACGGGACCCAGUGUUCUGGCUUCAGGUCCUUGUUUGGGUGCCACCUGCCUGCAUUGUACUGGUUCUCUGGGAGCAUGAGGAGGGGUAUUAUCUCUACGGGGCCUCCGGGCCAGCGAGGUGUCCUGGGCUGGGGGCAGCUGAGACAGAAGCAGAGCCCCCAGUGUUCCCAGACACAGGUGUACAGCCGUGGGCUCUGGGGAGCUUCCCUCCUGCAGCAGCUCCUUGGCCUUGAGGAUGACCCUGCCAGGAGGGGGUCCAGGCUGCUCACGUUGUGUGGCUGCGCCUGGGGAGGUCUGCUCGUCCACUCUGGGCAGCGUCUAGGUAAUAGAAGGGAGGGAGAGGCUCAAUUGCCGGGACACUCACUCCAGGCCCAGGGGCCUCCUGAGGUAACUCUCCAGGUCCUGUUGGAAAGAGGCAGGCUGGUUUUGCAUCUCCAGUAGGCUGUAUGUCCCCAGCUGGAGGGCCCCAGGGGUCCUCUUGGCUCCCGGGUGGUCCCCCUGGCUUGACGCUGUCCACAGCCCUCCACACUGCUGGUACCCAGCCCCUGCAGUGAGUGCCUGCACACUCAGUCCCGGCCUGGUUUCCCUGAGGCUGGAGCAGAAGAGGAGAGGGCCAGAGAUGAGGAGGAAAACCCGGGGGCCCUAUCCACGUGAACAGCCCCAGCAAGUGGAAUCGGGAGGGGAUGGAGCCCUAGGUACACCUGGGCGGGGGCAGUUCACACUUCAUCUUUCGGAGCUGGGUCGUGGAGGCCCAAAGUUGUCUGAGCACCACCUCAUCCUCCAGGGCCCAGGGCCGGACCAGCACGUCCUGCAGAAACUCCCGAGGACCUUCCAAGGGCAGCUUCAGGAGGCUCUCUGGGCAGUGGGUGUGAGUGAGACCCAGAGGCUCCCUGCUCUGUGGCCUCCAGGUGCCUCCCAAGGGCAGCAGCUGAGGGUCCAGCUGUGCAGGAUCACCGUGGGCAGUGCUAUGACCGAGGGAGGGCCCUGCCUGCUGCUCACUCAGGGAGUCCUGAUCAACUCGCCUGCUCAGCCGUCCCCCCGUCCCCAGGCCUGGGUGCUGCUCAGAGUAGGGGGUCAACACCCCUGUCCCCUCACCCCCAGCCUCGGGCACACCUGGGCACCCAGGGGCCCACUUACUCCUGUGUACUUUGAGGAUCAUGUAAGCCAUGGCUGUGAGCACACGCUCCACGUCCAGGAUUUACACGUCCCAGUGCUUUUGGGUAGGGAUAAGGGGUUUUAUGGGAGCAAGGGUAGGGAGGAGCGGCCUGAGCAGAGCCCCUUGGGGUCUCCCAUCUUCCCAUAACCUCCGCCGCUCCCACCCCCCGGGCUACAUCCGGGGAGGCACCACAGCCCCUCCUGGGCAUGUACUCCUCCCAGGAAGUACAGGGCUCCAGGCCACUCUGGGUUCUGAUCCUGGCCAGCACUACCCACAGACCUGGGGGCACAGACUCUGCCCCCAUUUCUACCAACAUGCCACAAGGACCCCAGGCUGGCUGCAGAAUGGCCCGAGGGCUCAUCCACACCCCAGGCUGACCAGGCCUCCCUGGGGGAGCUGAGGCAGAGACAGCCUGUUCCCUCGAAACUCCUCCAGGGACACUCUGGGCUUCUUAGGUGGGUCUGGGCUGUGAGCCUCAGCCUUCUGGCCCAAGGUCUGGCCUGGCUUGUCUGUAGGGUGGGGUUGAACUCCGCCCUCCCUGGGGUCAGGGGACAGGAUGAGGCAGCAGGGUUCCUCGGGUUCCCUUACCUAAUUGACAAAACACUGAAGGAACCACUUGGGAUGUAAAUGCCAGUGCACGUCAGUUCCUCGCCCUGGCAGAAGGAGAGGAGAUGCUCAGGCCCCACACUGCAGCCCCGUGGAGCCAGGUGGACCUACUUCCAGUGGCCCCUCAGAGCCUCGAGGGUGCCCCAAGCUUCCCAGAGGGAGGAACUUGACACCAAACUGGGGCAGCUCAGAAGAGCCGUGCUGGCACCCCCUGCCCUGGGGCCAAGGGGAUGGAGCCUCUGGGGAGCAUCUACUCGCCAUGUGCUUCUUCAGCUUGGGGUGAGCUCUGUCUAGAACGUGCUCGCCUAGGACCUCAGCAAUUUGGUGAACCCUGGAAUCAAGAAGCCUGAGAAGGCCCCAGAUCCCCAAAGAUCAGGGUCUCCUCCUGCAACAGGCCAGGCAGGGGGGCCAUCCUGGCAGGGGCCUCUUCCCCCACGCCUUGACCACCGACCCCGAUGCAGGUGUCAGACACCUUGUUCUCCACAAAGCAGGCAUGGAGACCCCUCCUCUGGGUGCCCAGGGGCCGUCCCCCAGGCCCAGAUCCCUUCCUACCCACUUCCAGGGUUUUCCUCUUGGGUCUCUCAGCUCUAGCCUAGGGCAGACAUGGCCCUCAGAGGGCCCAAGGGGAAGAGGUCCUGAUCUGGGGGGAUGUGCCAGCCUCAAGAGAGGCACCUCCUGAGAUGGAUGAAGGGGUGUCCAGGGAACUCAAUGCAGAAAACUCUGAUUGUCCGUGACCUUCCACAGUGACGGGUCAGCGUCAUCCCAAGGGUCCUAUGGAGACCAUACCCGGCGUGCCUGAAACAGAGGGGACCGAUCAGUGCCAGGGACAUGGGGAAAGGAGGGAGCAGAAUGGCUCCUCUCCCCUGAAUCCUGAGGGAGAUCAGGCCCCUCUGAGAUUGUCCGGGAAUGAGGGGAAGGGCCUUUCUGCCCAAUGGGAGCAGCCUGACAGCCUUAUCUGCUUCUACCAGAGAUGAUUCCCACCUGGGCCUGACCUGACCUGGUGACUCUGGUCCCCACCUGAGCCUCACCUGGACCUGGUGACUGUGGUCCCCAUCUGGGCUCAUUGGCAACUGAUGACUAUGAGCCAAGAUUGACUCUCACUUCUACUGAUACCCGGGGUCCGUCCCCAGGAUCUCAUUUGAUCUUGGUUUCUGUGGUCCUUGUCUGGGCUGAACUAACUCAUGCUUGGCUCAUGCUUGGCUCUGAUCCCCUCCUGGGCCUCACCUGUUCUUGCAGAUGUGGUCCCCACAUCUAGUGGGUGCUCUAGUGUCUAUGGUAUUUGUCUGGGCUUCAGCUGAUGGUAUUCGGCUAUGAUGUCAGCCCUUUCCAAGGCCAGCAGGGUCUCUAGGUCCUCUUGCCUGGGGCUGCAAACCACACUCAUCCGAGGAUGACACCACAUGAAAACCUUCAGAGGACACAUGCGUCUGUGUGCUCCCUGUGGGCAGGUCCCCAUCUGUCUGACUGGAGGGUGGAGACAACACAGUAGCUCUGAGGGGGACGUGCUGGACUGGAGGAUCACUCAGGGGCACUCACUGUCUGUAGCUGGCCCACCUGCAGUCCACCUUCCCAGCCACUGUCCCAGGACAUGCCGUCAUGCUGAGAGGACAGAGCUCUCCCACCCCCCUUAUCAGUAGCACAAGGGGGCCCAUGAGGCUGCGGGGAGCUGCUGACCUGAUGCUUGGUGUGACGUUUCCCAGCCCAGGGCUGGCCCCGAGAUGGUGGUGGAUGUGCCUGCCAGAGAGUAUUCCUGUGGGCUUGGGGCAGACCGAAGGUUUCUCUUGGAUUCCAUAAGAAGAAUGACCAAAGGGAAAAAGUAAUGAACUGGACUUCAUCAAAAGUAAAAACUUAUGCAAUGAUUUGUGAAUAGCCUGAGGAGGGUUAUGCGGGAGCACGAGGGACUCCAUGUUCCAGUUUGUGAAGAUCAAGCCUGCUCAUGAGCCAGAAGGACCGAGAGAGCCCUGACCAUCCACCCCGGACCACAGAGUGGGGGGAUUGGUCAUCACAUGUUGGGGUCAUGCACCUAAGACGGACUGGAAAGGUCAUGGCUUGACCUGUUGCCUCCUGCACAGAACAGGGCUUGAGGGGAGCGGGGGUCCCGCAUGAGCCGCCCGAGCCCUGAACACAGGCUCCUUCCCUGGCCUGGGGCAGCAGGGAGGCAGCCCUCACCCUGUGGAGCUGUGGAAGGGCUCCAGGAGCUGCCUCAUGGGCAUCACAUGGGGUUUGGUGUGUUCUCACCCCAGCCCAGGAGGCCAACACCUGCAGCAAGACCCACAGGACCUACAGUGGCCCAAGGGGGGCCGGGAGCAGCUCCCAGUCACCUGUGAACUGUCACCUUGUGAGUGCCUACACUUUAUACACUGAGUUACUGGUGAGAGUGGGCUGGUCGGGCACUGAGCCAGAUCCGGAGCACGGGUGCCUCCAAGAGCCUGCGGACACAGAGUAGCGCCAGGCAUUGGAACCCUGGGGCACCACAGUUCCGCCCACAAUGGAGCCCCGUGUCAUCACUGUAGGUCUGGGGUCCAGUCAGCACUUAGCCCUGUACUCUGAAGGUGAGGGGAGGCCCUGUCUCCAUGCCAAGUGGGAAGGGGAUGCAGGCACCCUCCCACAUCCUUAGUUCCCACCUUCAGGCCCUCCAGGCCUCCCACCCCUCUAGGUAGACUGGGUGUCCCAGCUGUCCUCCCACCCCCAAGGGUUCACAGCGUGGAUUUUGCACUUAAGAACAUUUGAGGGGCUCCUGGGUGGUUCAGUCAGUUAAACAUCGACUCUUGAUUUUGGCUCAGGUCAGGAUCUCGAGGUUGUAGGGUGGAGCCUCACGUGGGUUUGGGUUCUGGCCGGUGGGGAGUGUGGUGAGAGUCUCCCUUUACCUCUGCCCCUCCCACUGCACACUCUCUCAAAUCUUUUAAAAAUCAACAUUGAAGACAUUUGAGAAAUCUUUAUCAUCUCUGCAGUGGUGCCUUCAUAUGUGUAAUGGCUAUGUAAAUGCUUUUUAAAAAAAUUUUCACUUCUCUGGAAUAAAUUCCCAGGAGUGCUCUGCUGAAUUAUGUGGUAAUUGUAUGCAAAAUCUUUUUUUGAUAAAACUGCUAAACUCUUUCCCAGGAGUGAUUGUUAGAUUUUACAAAAACUGUGUGGAACCUGUUUUCAAAGCAGUUGUCUAGAUACUGAAGUGUGACUGUUGGACCCUCAGGUGAGAUUAAUUGAGCCUUGGAAAAAACUGCUAAAGUCUCUUCCAAAGCAACCGUAUUUAUAUCCGCAGCAUGAAGGAGCGUUCCUGUCAUAUAUCUCCCUCCAGCAACUAGUAUCCUCCUUUUUGGGACUUUAGCCUUUGUAGGGGCGCCUGGGUGGCUCGGUUGCUGGGGUGCCUGUGUGGCUCAGUUGGUUAAGCGUCUGCUUUGGCUCAGGUCAUUAUCCCUGGGUCCUGGGAUCGAGGCUUGCAUCGGGAUCCCUGCUUUGGGGGGAGCCUGCUUCUCUCUCCUUCUGCCUACCUCUACCCCUACUUCCUUGCUCACUCUCUGUCAAAUGAGUAAAAUUUUUUAAAAAAGUAAAAUUUCUAAAAGGUGUGUAGCACCAUCUCACUGUUAUUCACAUUGGCAACUUCCUAAUGCUAGAGGAUGUAGAACAUACUUUUGUAGGCUUGCUUAUUUUCUGUGUGUCCUCUUUGUCCAGGUGUCUGCUCACAUAGUCACCCAUUGUUAAUUAAGUUAUCUGUUUUCUUAUUGUUAUGAGGGUUUUUUUGUGUAGAUUGAAUAAAAAUUAAAAAUGUUGAAUAUCCGAUGUGUGUUUUGAACACAUAUUCUCUUCAGUUUGUGAGUGGUCUUUAGGUUCCCUGGGCAAUGUCUUUCAAAGAGUAGCAGUUUUAAAUUU